rnacentral:rRNA from 1 species
CUUGCUCUUUCCGGAAUUGAGUGGCAAACGGGUGAGUAACACGUAAACAACCUGCCUUCAGGAUGGGGACAACAGACGGAAACGACUGCUAAUACCGCAUGACACAUAGGUGUCGCAUGGCACUUAUGUCAAAGAUUUAUUGCUGAAAGAUGGCCUCGCGUCUGAUUAGAUAGUUGGUGAGGUAACGGCCCACCAAGUCAACGAUCAGUAGCCGGACUGAGAGGUUGAACGGCCACAUUGGGACUGAGAUACGGCCCAGACUCC